GACGAACGCUGGCGGUGUGCCUAACACAUGCAAGUCGAACGAGGUCCAUGCAGUGGCAACACUGCGGAAGACCUAGUGGCGAACGGGUGAGUAACACGUGAGGAACCUGCCCCGAAGACCGGGAUAACCCUCCGAAAGGAGAGCUAAUACCGGAUACCCCCACCGGAUCGCAUGAUCUGGUGAGGAAAUGGAUUCCGCUUCGGGAGGGCCUCGCGGCCUAUCAGCUAGUUGGUGGGGUAACGGCCCACCAAGGCAUCGACGGGUAGCUGGUCUGAGAGGACGAUCAGCCACACUGGGACUGAGACACGGCCCAGACUCCUACGGGAGGCAGCAGUGGGGAAUCUUGCGCAAUGGGCGAAAGCCUGACGCAGCAACGCCGCGUGGGGGAUGAAGGCUCUCGGGUUGUAAACCCCUUUCAGCAGGGACGAAUCAAGACGGUACCUGCAGAAGAAGCCCCGGCUAACUACGUGCCAGCAGCCGCAGUAAGAC
rnacentral:rRNA from 1 species